rnacentral:tRNA from 2 species
CGGGGCGUGGCGUAGCCUGGUAUCGCGCCUGCUUUGGGAGCAGGAGGUCCUCGGUUCAAAUCCGGGCGCCCCGACCA